CCUGAUCCACCAUGCCGCGUGAGUGAUGAAGCCUUAGGUCGUAAAGCUCUUUCGSCAGGGAUGAUAAUGACAGUACCUGGUAAAGARACCCCGGCUCAGACUCCGUGCCAGCAGCCGCGGUAAUACGGCRGGGCGUUAGCGUUGUUCGRAUKACUGGGCGUAAAGCGUACGUAGGCGGGUUGUUAAGUUAGAGGUGARAUCCCAGGGCUCAACCCUGGAACUGCCUUUAAUACUGGCAACCUAGAGUUCGAGCAGAGGUGAGUGGMAUUCCGWGUGUAGAGGUGAAAUYCGUAGAUAUWCGGAGGAACACCAGUGGCGAAGGCGGCUCACUGSCUCGAUACUGACGCUGAGGUACGAAAGCUGUGGGGAGCAAACAGGAUUAGAUACCCUGGUAGUCCACACCGUAAACGAUGAAUGCCAGYHGUCGGGUAGCAUGCUAYUCAGKUGACACACCUAACGAUUAAGCACCC
rnacentral:rRNA from 1 species